rnacentral:hammerhead_ribozyme from 1 species
AUCUAGAUGACCAGUCCCAAAAAGGACGGAACGUGCGUCGUAGAU